GUUCACAGCAAGCGUUCUUUUCUUUUAGACCAGGAGACCCUGAUCUCACCCUGACGGUAAGAUCAAAAGUCUCCGUUCGCCCCCAGCCUGCAGGCUUGGGCUGGGUCCAGACGCCUCCCUGAAUGCAGAUGUGCGGCCGCCGGCCUCCCGGGCUAUAAAGCCGCCUCCAGCGCCUUCGCGCGCGCUGGAGCGCUCGGAGUUGCCGGGUGUAGACCCCAGGAGGGGCCGAGAGACAGAAGCGGGCUGCGACUGGCGGUUUCGGGUGGGGGCGCCGCGCGCGCUUGGUGACUGAGGCCGCAAGAGGCCGAAACUGCGGCCCCUCCAGGCCGGGGAGAUGCGGCCGUAGGGCGUGAAACGCUUCUUGCGAGCGAGGAAACGAAGCAACUGGAAUUUGCACCAUCCAGGUCAGAUGGAAAAUAGAAGCUGGGAAAAUCUGACACUUUUCAUUGAUUUGCUCUCUUUGCCAUCGCUACUCGCGAGAGGAAGAAAUGUGACUUCAAAAUUGCAAUUAGGAACCAACCUGCUAAGGGUUCCUCACGUGAGCUCACGUGUGGUGCUGAUCACGGGCAGGUCUCGUCUCUUUCCUGAGCAGGCCAUAAAGCAGUGCGAGGGGAGGCUGGACUCGGAAUGAGAGCACUCUGUGACAGCAGGAACUCAACCAAGUACCAUGGCUGUACCAAGCACCAUGGUGGAAGAACAGAAGGAAGAUGAAGGGAUGUACAUAUGAACCUGUGAUGGAGGAAGAGAUAACAGGUUGCAGCUUGGGUCAGCACGACAAAGAAAAAUGGACAUCCAGGUUGCUGGUCUUCCAUGCAUGUGUUUUCAACAGGGUGUCAUCCUGCCUUUGUGAGACACAGAAGGGGCUGCAAGUCCGUUGGGACCGUCUUUCUCCAGAGAACAUUUUGAAGAUGAUCUCCAGACAACUUCACUCUGCCAGCUCUGCUUGCAGGGUGUUGUGAGGUCUUCGAAAGCCAGCAAGAAGUUAAGGGCAAAAUGGACAAUGGAAACAGAGGUGGCCAAGACAGUCUCUCCACCAUCUACUGUGAGCCGAACUUCUGCGAAAGGGAAAAACAGGAGACUCUGAUUUCAAUGGCUUUAAAGUUAUGAGAGGAAGUUGUAACUUCAGGCUACCAUCUGUCUGCCUCGAAUAUUUUACUUCUCACUUCUUCUUUGUCAAAGUUUGCAUCUUUAGGAGGCCACUGGGAGUAGAAGGAAAAUUUAUGAUUGAUUGUGUUUUAAUUUGCUUGUAAUGCUUUAAAUAUGUUUCCGCCGAGUCUCAGAGAGUACAUCUUUUAGAAGGAGGGACUUGUGUAGAAGUUGGACAAUGAAGUCUCUCCUCAUGGGCGAGCAGGGUUAUUGCAGAGUGACUCUUGCUGUAGGUGAGUCAGGGUGACCCUGUGCCAUUGCCGUAUAGUCACCAGGAUACCUUUGGUGGCCCUAAGUGUGUCUCCUAUGGAACAACUUAGUAAAUCUCACUAAGAGACUGCAAGCACUGAGGGUGGGCCCCUAAUCAUUGCAAUGAUCUCCUGUAUGAGGCACCUUGAGCAUGUCUUAUAGAGAGAAGUCAAUUUAACAACUUUCAGACCAAUAACCACCUACUCAAAUACCUCCAGGGGCCUGUCAGGUGGCAUACAUGAGUGACAUAGGUCGUGGAUAAGAAAAAUAUUUUCUCUUAUUUCCUUGAAAUAUGCAGCCUCCUUAAUUAAUCUGUAUCUUAUUUUCCCACUUUUGAUAAUGACUUGGGUACAAGCAAUACUUCACAUUCCUCUUACCACUCUUCUAUCAAAACAUCAGCGCAAGCAUAAUGAUAAACAUUAAAGCUAUCAGCCCAGGGGUCAGGAAGAUGCCAUUCCAACCCCAGGUGGCAGGGAGCGAUGUGGGUUCCUUUUCUCAGCUUAUAAGUAGGUUUUCUUUAGCAGUCAAAAGUAUAUGCACUGACUUCAGCUGAGUUUACAAACAAGGAUAUGUUUUACCUGACAUAACUGGACCUUUGUAGGUAUUGAACUUGAAGCAUGCUCUAGCAGUGGUUCAACAGUUCCACAGAGGAUCUGGGUCUUUCUGUUUCCCUCCACCCUCCCCAUGGCUGUUGUCAUAAUUGCUAGCUGAUACCCACUGCCUCCAGGGCUGUGUGCUUUCUUUCACUGUUUUUCUAGGUGGAUGGGAAUAACUCUCCAGCCAUUGGACAUACAUUGUUUCCUUCAUUCUGAUUGGAGCACCAAAGUCCCCUGACACUCUUGGACCAAUAACAGAUCCCAGAAAAAUAGCAAAUGCUGAUUGACUUAGAAGAAUGUGGAGGUUGAAGAAAGAUUAAGAGACUGAGAUUUCCUUAAAGGCCAGAUGAGAUACACCUGACUCCAUUGGCCCUUUGGAUGCCACACCGGGCUGAACAUCCAGGUGGUGCCCAAGAGACACUCAUUGAGUUGAACUGAUGCAAAGAAAAAGGCUGGACUCUUCCAUUCCCUGAAGAGAAAUGAGACAAAAGCAGUUUGGAAUGACUAUGCAUACCCAGGAACCUCACUCCUAGGAUGUGAUGAAGACUCUGCAAAACAUCCCCCUUCCUCCCCAGAUAUGGCCCCCUGGACCUUGGACUUCAAC